ACAAACUUGGUCAUUUAGAGGAAGUAAAAGUCGUAACAAGGUUUCCGUAGGUGAACCUGCGGAAGGAUCAUCAAAGGAGGAGGGGGAGGGGAGGGAAGAAUUUUUCCUUCUCCCCCAACCAAUCUUGUGUGAACCGUAGCGAGCAUUGGUGUGUUGUAGGUUGGUGGGGAGGGGGGGAGGUUUCUCCUGCCCACCACCGGCACACGCUACCAAUAUCUCCUGAUAUCUCGUCUAAUCUUGACCACAUAACUUACACAACUUUUAACAAUGGAUCUCUUGGCUCUCGCAUCGAUGAAGAACGCAGC
rnacentral:misc_RNA from 1 species